GUGGGAGUUAAGUCAGUUAGGGAGGUUGGGAGUUAACUCCACUUCAAGCCUCUAUGUUGCUUAUGUUGUCACUAUAUUAGGUUGUCUGCCUAUUGCUGGUUCAUACAUGAAUACAAAUGAAUAAUUUGUGAAUGUUUGGUCUGGUUAUUGGUAAAAUAAGAGAUUGUGCUAUUUGCUAGGCCAAGCAGUUAUUGCUUGAAUGUCCGAGGGUUACUUUUUAAAACUAAAUUUCUAAGAUACUUGGCUCGGUGUAUUUUAAUCCUACUGCAGAAAGUAAAAUUUCCCCCUCGUUGGGUCCAGUAGCUCUCUCCUCAUCCUCCCAUCCUUCCAAGAGCCAGGUGAAAAAGAGUGAGACCCAUGCUAAAAAGGAAAACAGGUCUCCCAAAGGCAGAGAUGAGCAAUCAGUCUGAGAAAGACAACCAGGUAAACUUAGCAUUGUAAAAAAAAAAAUGGUAUAUUAAGACUUUUGGCAAAGCA
rnacentral:lncRNA from 1 species